CAAAGGCAUGGUCCCGACCUUAUUAUCAGCUCUAACUCAACUUACACAUGCAAGUCUCCGCAACCCAGUGAAUAUGCCCUCAAUCCCCCCACCCGGGGACGAGGAGCGGGCAUCAGGCACAAACAUUAGCCCAAGACGCCUAGCCAAGCCACACCCCCAAGGGAAUUCAGCAGUGAUAAACAUUAAGCCAUAAGUGAAAACUUGACCCAGUUAGUGUUAAGAGGGCCGGUAAAACUCGUGCCAGCCACCGCGGUUAGACGAGAGGCCCUAGUUGAUAUUACAACGGCGUAAAGGGUGGUUAAGGAUAAACAAAAAUAAAGUCAAAUGGCCCCUUGGCCGUCAUACGCUUCUAGGAGUCCGAAGCCCUAAUACGAAAGUAACUUUAAUAAACCCACCUGACCCCACGAAAGCUGAGAAACAAACUGGGAUUAGAUACCCCACUAUGCUCAGCCGUAAACUCAGACAUCCAGCUACAAUUAGAUGUCCGCCAGGGUACUACGAGCAUUAGCUUAAAACCCAAAGGACCUGACGGUGUCUCAGACCCCCCUAGAGGAGCCUGUUCUAGAACCGAUAACCCCCGUUCAACCUCACCACUUCUAGCCACCCCAGCCUAUAUACCGCCGUCGUCAGCUUACCCUGUGAAGGUAAUAAAAGUAAGCAAAAUGGGCACAACCCAAAACGUCAGGUCGAGGUGUAGCGCAUGAAGUGGGAAGAAAUGGGCUACAUUUUCUAAUAUAGAAUAUUACGAACAUGCACCAUGAAACAAUGCUUGAAGGAGGAUUUAGUAGUAAAAGGGAAAUAGAGUGUCCCUUUGAACCCGGCUCUGAGACGCGUACACACCGCCCGUCACUCUCCCCUGUCAAAACGCACCAAAAAUACAUAAUACAACAGCACUGACAAGGGGAGGCAAGUCGUAACACGGUAAGUGUACCGGAAGGUGCACUUGGAUCAAACC
rnacentral:ncRNA from 2 species